rnacentral:tRNA from 7 species
GGGGCCGUAGCUCAGUUGGGAGAGCGCUACAAUGGCAUUGUAGAGGUCAGGGGUUCGACUCCCCUCGGCUCCACCA